rnacentral:rRNA from 1 species
AGUGGAGCAAUCCAUGAGUAAAGUGGCGCACGGGUGAGUAACACGUGACUAACCUACCCUUGAGUGGGGAAUAACCUAGGGAAACCUGGGCUAAUACCGCAUAACGCCUACGGGUCAAAGGAGCAAUUCGCUUAAGGAGGGGGUCGCGGCAGAUUAGCUAGUUGGCGGGGUAAUGGCCCACCAAGGCGGUGAUCUGUAUCCGGCCUGAGAGGGCGCACGGACACACUGGAACUGAAACACGGUCCAGACUCCUACGGGAGGCAGCAGUGGGGAAUUUUGCGCAAUGGGAGAAACCCUGACGCAGCAACGCCGCGUGGAGGAUGAAGUCCCUUGGGACGUAAACUCCCUCCGAUCGGGACGAUUAUGACGGUACCGGAAGAAGAAGCCCCGGCUAACUUCGUGCCAGUAGCCGCGGUAAUACGAGGGGGGCAAGCGUCGUUCGGAAUUAUUGGGCGUAAAGGGUGCGUAGGCGGUUCGGUAAGUCUUAUGUGAAAUCUUCGGGCUCAACUCG